rnacentral:lncRNA from 1 species
ACGGUAUUUGAAAAUAUUUUGGCAACGGUUAGUUAUACACUCGAUUAUACUAAGUUAACAAUCGAUUAUAUAUCAGUCUUGAAAAAUCUAUUUAGACACUGCCUCGUGACAAUUGAUUGUUAUAUACUCACAAUCGAUUAUUUAAUAACUUUGAGAAAGUCUGGAAGACACUGUCUCUUCACAAUCGAUUGUCAUUAACUUCACAAUCGAUUAUUUUGAGCGUUGAAAAACUUUGAUGGACACUGCCUCAUCAC